rnacentral:rRNA from 1 species
ACGCUGGCGGCGUGCCUAAUACAUGCAAGUCGAGCCAUCGGAUGAGAAGCUUGCUUCUCUGAUGUUAGCGGCGGACGGGUGAGUAACACGUGGAUAACCUACCUAUAAGACUGGGAUAACUUCGGGAAACCGGAGCUAAUACCGGAUAAUAUUUUGAACCGCAUGGUUCAAAAGUGAAAGACGGUCUUGCUGUCACUUAUAGAUGGAUCCGCGCUGCAUUAGCUAGUUGGUAAGGUAACGGCUUACCAAGGCAACGAUGCAUAGCCGACCUGAGAGGGUGAUCGGCCACACUGGAACUGAGACACGGUCCAGACUCCUACGGGAGGCAGCAGUAGGGAAUCUUCCGCAAUGGGCGAAAGCCUGACGGAGCAACGCCGCGUGAGUGAUGAAGGUCUUCGGAUCGUAAAACUCUGUUAUUAGGGAAGAACAUAUGUGUAAGUAACUGUGCACAUCUUGACGGUACCUAAUCAGAAAGCCACGGCUAACUACGUGCCAGCAGCCGCGGUAAUACGUAGGUGGCAAGCGUUAUCCGGAAUUAUUGGGCGUAAAGCGCGCGUAGGCGGUUUUUUAAGUCUGAUGUGAAAGCCCACGGCUCAACCGUGGAGGGUCAUUGGAAACUGGAAAACUUGAGUGCAGAAGAGGAAAGUGGAAUUCCAUGUGUAGCGGUGAAAUGCGCAGAGAUAUGGAGGAACACCAGUGGCGAAGGCGACUUUCUGGUCUGUAACUGACGCUGAUGUGCGAAAGCGUGGGGAUCAAACAGGAUUAGAUACCCUGGUAGUCCACGCCGUAAACGAUGAGUGCUAAGUGUUAGGGGGUUUCCGCCCCUUAGUGCUGCAGCUAACGCAUUAAGCACUCCGCCUGGGGAGUACGACCGCAAGGUUGAAACUCAAAGGAAUUGACGGGGACCCGCACAAGCGGUGGAGCAUGUGGUUUAAUUCGAAGCAACGCGAAGAACCUUACCAAAUCUUGACAUCCUUUGACAACUCUAGAGAUAGAGCUUUCCCCUUCGGGGGACAAAGUGACAGGUGGUGCAUGGUUGUCGUCAGCUCGUGUCGUGAGAUGUUGGGUUAAGUCCCGCAACGAGCGCAACCCUUAAGCUUAGUUGCCAUCAUUAAGUUGGGCACUCUAAGUUGACUGCCGGUGACAAACCGGAGGAAGGUGGGGAUGACGUCAAAUCAUCAUGCCCCUUAUGAUUUGGGCUACACACGUGCUACAAUGGACAAUACAAAGGGCAGCGAAACCGUGAGGUCAAGCAAAUCCCAUAAAGUUGUUCUCAGUUCGGAUUGUAGUCUGCAACUCGACUACAUGAAGCUGGAAUCGCUAGUAAUCGUAGAUCAGCAUGCUACGGUGAAUACGUUCCCGGGUCUUGUACACACCGCCCGUCACACCACGAGAGUUUGUAACACCCGAAGCCGGUGGAGUAACCUUUUAGGAGCUAGCCGUCGAAGGUGGGACAAAUGA